rnacentral:rRNA from 1 species
GAUGAACGCUGGCGGCGUGCUUAACACAUGCAAGUCGAACGGAAAGGCGCUGCGUUUGUGGCGCGCUCGAGUGGCGAACGGGGGAGUGACACGUGAGUAACCUGCCCCUGACUUUGGGAUAACUUCACGAAACUGGGGCGAAUACCGGAUAGGAGCUCCUGCUGCAUGGUGGGGGUUGGAAAGUUUCGGCGGUUGGGGAUGGACUCGCGGGUUAUCAGCUUGUUUGUGUGGUAGGGGCUUUCCAGGGCUUUGACGGGUAGCCGGCCUGGGAGGGUGGACGGGCACAAUGGGACUGAGGUACGGAGCAGAAGGCUACGGGACGCAGCGGGCGAGAGUCUUGCGCAACAGGCGGAAGUGUGAUACGAAGGCGCUGCGUGCGGGAUGACGUGUUACGGGUUGUGAACCGCUUUCGCCUGAGACGAGGAGGGCUUGACGGUACUGGGUCAAGAAGCACCGGCUAACUACGUG